rnacentral:lncRNA from 1 species
CCUCCUAUGGUGCACUGCGCUAUCUGUUAAACGCGGGUACAUGAAGUUACCCACAGCUAUAACGGAAUACAUGGUCUUCUCUUUCGCUACAUUUGCCCUUGUGGAGCCAUUUGGAUUAGCACCUUACAUCCUCAAGCGACGCAAGUCUCUCAUAUCAGUAUUUGAAAUCAUAGAUCGAGUCCCGACGAUUGAACCAGAUGACAACUCUGCUCUCAAGCCGCCUAAUGUCUACGGAAGCAUUGAACUGAAAAACAUCGACUUCUGCUACCCGUCUCGACCCGAAGUGUUGGUGUUGAGCAACUUCAGUCUCAAAGUCAGUGGGGGGCAAACUUUAGCUGUGGUUGGCGUCUCAGGUUCUGGUAAAAGCACAAUAAUCUCACUCGUGGAGAGAUACUACGACCCAGUUGCUGGUCAAGUCCUACUAGACGGGCGCGACUUAAAGCUAUAUAACUUGAGAUGGUUGAGAAGUCACAUGGGUCUGGUCCAGCAAGAGCCCAUAAUCUUUUCCACAACCAUCAGAGACAACAUCAUAUACGCAAGGCAUAAUGCGAGCGAAGCUGAGAUGAAGGAAGCAGCGAGGAUAGCAAACGCUCACCAUUUCAUCAGCAGCUUACCUCACGGUUACGACACACAUGUGGGGAUGAGAGGUGUGGAACUUACCCCAGGACAGAAACAGCGAAUAGCGAUAGCACGUGUGGUGCUGAAGAACGCUCCCAUCAUCUUGAUAGAUGAAGCAAGCUCGUCUAUCGAGUCUGAGUCAAGCCGGGUCGUUCAAGAAGCUCUUGACACGUUGAUAAUGGGGAAUAAAACGACUAUUCUGAUAGCGCAUAGAGCUGCUAUGAUGAGACAUGUUGAUAACAUUGUGGUUCUCAAUGGAGGGAGAAUAGUGGAGGAAGGUACGCAUGAUGCGUUAGCAGCUAAGAAUGGAUUAUACGUCCGUCUAAUGCAACCACACUUCGGCAAAGGUCUACGCCAACAUCGACUAAUAUAGCAAAUAGGGCUUGUAGGUGUAGAUUUUCCACGGUGAUGAAGCUUCUUUCUCCAAGGUAUAUCGAUUGUGUAUGCUAGAUUGUUUUGGGAAGACAAUGUAUGUAAAGAAAAUGUGUAAAUGUAUUCACUUAUUAGUAUUACACACCAACACAAAAGUUUCUUCUCAAAGAGAAGAAAAAAUAGGCAAGCCAGGUAUUGUAGCUCCGGAGUCGAGAAUGUAUGUGUUCCCUGAGACAUAACGGGAAGAGUCAUGAAUGAGAUAGCGAACCAGCGAGGUAAGUCCCGGAUCCACGGUCUGUUGCACCUUUAACGGGAUAGUCCUCUCGGUCACGUUCUUAAGCCACUCUUUUUGCAUAAGACCUUGCGUGAUCUCUGACUUGAGAAGCCCUGGUGCGAUCGAGUUCACUCUGAUGUUGUAUACACCUAACUCAAUAGCCAUCAUCCUCGUCAUGGUAUCAACACCACCUUUGGAACAAGCAUAGGCGACUCCACCGGGUAACAAACCUCGGUGGAGACCGGCGAUGGAGGAGACGUUUAUUACUGAGCCGCCGCCUUUUGCGUCACGCAUUAGACUGCAGACGUAUUUGGAUACUAACCAAGGUCCGGUUAAGUUGGUUCUGAACACUGUGUUCCACUCAUCUUCAGUCAGAUCUAAACUCGUCUUGACAUUGCCUCUGAUUCCAGCGUUGUUGAUCAACACAUCUAUCUUUCCGUAGAUGUCCCAAGCUUGUUUGACCGCUUUUUGAAUGGUAGCUGCGUCUGAUGAAACGUCUAGCUCGAGCGGUGCGGCUAAUUGGAUCCCGGUUGAGCUUAAGCUGUUGAUUUCGGAGCAGAGAGAUUCGAGACGGUGGACGCGACGAGCUGCUGCGAUAAUCUUACAGCCAGCUUUGCCCAGAUCGAGACAGACCUCACUUCCUAUACCAGAAGAAGCUCCGGUCAGAAAAACCACUUUGAAGAUGUAAGAUGUCUGCCCUGAAGUAGUCGUUGACGUAGUUGCGGAAGCAGACGUCGGGUUAAGUGGUGAAGACCAUGUGGAGUCAAGAUGCUGAGCUGGAGUCGUGUAGACUUGGAGAGCAAGGGAGUAUCUUGGAGAUAUGGAAAGAGGAAUAAACUUGAUGAGCAAGUUUAUGACUUAAAGAAAGAGGAAUAAGUGAAUUCCAAGAAAAGGAAAGUUGCACUUAUUGUUAUGGAAGAUGUCCAUACAUGUUGCCUUGGCGACUAGGGUUUUGGGAACAUGGAGAAUAACUAUAAGAUAGCUAUGGGGUCGUCUGUAUAGAGAUAGAGACACAGAGGCUGAUCUUAUAGAAAGAGAGAGAAGCUCUUGGAAGUGUUUGGUAGAAAUGGUUCUGGAAAAAGCAGCAUUAUUCCUUUAAUGGAACGGUUUUAUGAUCCGACAUUAGGUACUAUGACUUGUGAUUUAAGAUGCACCACUCACCUUUGCAUGGAGACAAUCAUGAGCUGACGACAUUUUGUGGUUUUCACUUAUGCAGGAGAAGUUCUUCUUGAUGGAGAAAAUAUUAAAAAUCUAAAACUGGAGUGGCUGAGAAGCCAAAUAGGCCUGGUUACACAGGAGCCUGCUCUGCUAAGCUUGAGCAUAAGAGAGAAUAUUGCAUAUGGUCGUGAUGCUACUCUUGAUAAGAUAGAGGAGGCAGCUAAAAUUGCGCAUGCACACACGUUUAUCAGCUCACUUGAAAAAGGAUAUGAAACUCAGGUAGAAAUUUUUUUCUUUUUUUAAAGUUUGUGAUGAAAUCCUGUUUUGUCAGUUGGUAACUUGGUAUUCAACUUUAAAGUGGGAAAUGCCUGGUUUGACUUCUAGGUAGGGAGAGCCGGUUUAGCAAUGACAGAGGAGCAGAAAAUAAAACUUUCAAUCGCUAGAGCUGUGCUUUUAAAUCCUACAAUUCUUCUGCUUGAUGAAGUAACUGGGGGACUAGAUUUCGAAGCUGAAAGAAUUGUUCAGGAAGCUCUUGAUCUUCUGAUGUUGGGGCGCUCAACCAUAAUAAUUGCCCGACAGCUAAGCUUGAUUAAAAAUGCUGACUAUAUUGCCGUGAUGGAGGAGGGUCAGCUAGUUGAAAUGGGUACACACGAUGAAUUGAUAAAUCUUGGUGGGUUGUAUGCUGAGCUUCUGAAGUGUGAAGAAGCAACAAAGCUACCGCGAAGGUAUGAUAGCUUAGAACAUAACCAGUUACUCGUGUGUUGAAAUUUCUAGUGGCAAAAUAUAUGUUUGGGAAUCUGUUUUCUGCUGUUAUGAUCUCUAGGGGGUGUAUUUUUGUUAAUUAUAUUUGUUUAAGGAACUUGUAUGUUCAUCCAGGAUGCCAGUUAGGAACUACAAGGAGUCUUCAGUAUUUCAGAUUGAGAGGGACUCUUCAGCUGGCUGUGGCGUCCAAGAGCCAUCAUCACCCAAAAUGAUCAAGUCUCCAUCUCUUCAAAGAGGUAAUGGCGUGUUCCGUCCCCAGGAUCUGUGUUUUUACACUGAAGAAUCACCUAAUGAUCAUAACCCUGCUGCACCUGAGAAAAUGGGGGAACAUGGCUUGCCUCUGGACGAUACUGAUAAAGAGCCAACAAUGAAAAGGCAAGAUAGUUUCGAGAUGAGGUUACCAGAGCUUCCUAAAAUCGACGUCCACGGUCCACAGCAUAAAUCAAACGACUCAGAUCCAGAGUCCCCUGUUUCACCCCUUUUGACUUCAGAUCCCAAAAACGAGCGUUCCCAUUCUCAGACGUUUAGCCGUCCUCUUAGUUCGUCUGAUGACACUAAAGCAAAUGGUAAGGAUGCUCAACACAAGGAGUCACCUUCGUUUUGGAGGUUGGCACAGCUUAGUUUCCCAGAGUGGCUCUAUGCUCUAUUAGGGAGUGUGGGUGCUGCCGUAUUUGGUUCCUUCAAUCCUCUUCUGGCUUAUGUCAUGGCGUUGGUAGUCACGGAAUAUUAUAAGAGCAAAGGAGGCCACCUGCGCGAGCAGGUUGACAAAUGGUGUUUGAUCCUUGCCGCCAUGGGGAUAGUGACAGUUUUUGCCAAUUUCUUGCAGCAUUUCUACUUUGGUAUAAUGGGGGAGAAAACGACUGAGAGAGUUCGGAGGAUGAUGUUCUCAGGUACUGGAUUUUUUUGAUCAUUAUAAUUAACUUCACCACAUUUUAACUACUUUCACUUGCCUCGCAUCAUUAAUUUCCCUGAUGUUACAGCAAUGCUGCGUAACGAAGUUGGAUGGUUCGAUCAUGAAGACAACAGUCCUGAUACGUUAUCCAUGCGUUUAGCAAAUGAUGCUACUUUUGUCCGAGCUGCCUUCAGCAACAGGCUUUCGAUAUUUAUUCAAGAUAGUUUUGCUGUUAUUGUUGCUCUUCUUAUUGGGUUGCUGCUUGGUUGGCGUUUGGCCCUUGUUGCAUUAGCAACUCUGCCAAUACUCUCUCUUUCUGCCAUUGCUCAGGUUUGCAUCGUUUCUUCUAGGAGAUUGCUUGACAUUUAAAUUCUUAUUUUAUAAUUUAGUAAACGUGCGGUCAUAAUCCCCUCUUUCACAUGUGUUUCUGAUUUUGUAAUAUUUUUUUCCAGUUCAAGUAGCGGUUUAGCAUGUGAUUCGUUGCUUUUUGCCAUUUCAUUCUCAUGCACAUAGCUCAGACAUGUUUGUUUAUUCAGCUGACAUUGCAUAUUAAUUACCUUAAAACGAAUUUGCAGAAACUGUGGCUUUCUGGAUUCUCAAAAGGCAUCCAGGAGAUGCAUAGAAAGGCAUCAUUAGUUCUCGAGGAUGCUGUACGAAAUAUCUACACUGUUGUUGCCUUCUGUGCUGGUAACAAGGUGAUGGAACUCUACAGGAUGCAACUCCAGAGGAUACUCAGACAAAGCUUUUUACACGGGAUGGCUAUCGGUUUUGCGUUUGGUUUCUCACAGUUCCUUCUCUUCGCCUGCAACGCCCUCCUCCUAUGGUGCACUGCGCUAUCUGUUAAACGCGGGUACAUGAAGUUACCCACAGCUAUAACGGAAUACAUGGUCUUCUCUUUCGCUACAUUUGCCCUUGUGGAGCCAUUUGGAUUAGCACCUUACAUCCUCAAGCGACGCAAGUCUCUCAUAUCAGUAUUUGAAAUCAUAGAUCGAGUCCCGACGAUUGAACCAGAUGACAACUCUGCUCUCAAGCCGCCUAAUGUCUACGGAAGCAUUGAACUGAAAAACAUCGACUUCUGCUACCCGUCUCGACCCGAAGUGUUGGUGUUGAGCAACUUCAGUCUCAAAGUCAGUGGGGGGCAAACUUUAGCUGUGGUUGGCGUCUCAGGUUCUGGUAAAAGCACAAUAAUCUCACUCGUGGAGAGAUACUACGACCCAGUUGCUGGUCAAGUCCUACUAGACGGGCGCGACUUAAAGCUAUAUAACUUGAGAUGGUUGAGAAGUCACAUGGGUCUGGUCCAGCAAGAGCCCAUAAUCUUUUCCACAACCAUCAGAGACAACAUCAUAUACGCAAGGCAUAAUGCGAGCGAAGCUGAGAUGAAGGAAGCAGCGAGGAUAGCAAAUAGGGCUUACCUCACGGUUACGACACACAUGUGGGGAUGAGAGGUGUGGAACUUACCCCAGGACAGAAUGCAACCACACUUCGGCAAAGGUCUACGCCAACAUCGACUAAUAUAGCAAAUAGGGCUUGUAGGUGUAGAUUUUCCACGGUGAUGAAGCUUCUUUCUCCAAGGUAUAUCGAUUGUGUAUGCUAGAUUGUUUUUGGAAGACAAUGUAUGUAAAGAAAAUGUGUAAAUGUAUUCACUUAUUAGUAUUACACACCAACACACAAGUUUCUUCUCAAAGAGAAGAAAAAAUAGGCAAGCCAGGUAUUGUAGCUCCGGAGUCGAGAAUGUAUGUGUUCCCUGAGACAUAACGGGAAGAGUCAUGAAUGAGAUAGCGAACCAGCGAGGUAAGUCCCGGAUCCACGGUCUGUUGCACCUUUAACGGGAUAGUCCUCUCGGUCACGUUCUUAAGCCACUCUUUUUGCAUAAGACCUUGCGUGAUCUCUGACUUGAGAAGCCCUGGUGCGAUCGAGUUCACUCUGAUGUUGUAUACACCUAACUCAAUAGCCAUCAUCCUCGUCAUGGUAUCAACACCACCUUUGGAACAAGCAUAGACGACUCCACCGGGUAACAAACCUCAGUGGAGACCGGCGAUGGAGGAGACGUUUAUUACUGAGCCGCCGCCUUUUGCGUCACGCAUUAGACUGCAGACGUAUUUGGAUACUAACCAAGGUCCGGUUAAGUUGGUUCUGAACACUGUGUUCCACUCAUCUUCAGUCAGAUCUAAACUCGUCUUGACAUUGCCUCUGAUUCCAGCGUUGUUGAUCAACACAUCUAUCUUUCCGUAGAUGUCCCAAGCUUGUUUGACAGCUUUUUGAAUGGUGGCUGCGUCUGAUGAAACGUCUAGCUCGAGCGGUGCGGCUAAUUGGAUCCCGGUUGAGCUUAAGCUGUUGAUUUCGGAGCAGAGAGAUUCGAGACGGUGGACGCGACGAGCUGCUGCGAUAAUCUUACAGCCAGCUUUGCCCAGAUCGAGACAGACCUCACUUCCUAUACCAGAAGAAGCUCCGGUCAGAAAAACCACUCGAGACAGACCUCACUUCCUAUACCAGAAGAAGCUCCGGUCAGAAGAACCACUUUGCCGUUUAGCUCACACCAUGGCUCUAGUUGUUUCAACACCUGCUUCUCUCCCAUUAAAAAGGAAACAAACAAAUUUCUAAUUAAAAAAGGCAGUAAUUAUAUGAUGGGAUUUUAUCAUCAAGUUAUAAUUGGGAUAUGUAUUCAAAACCUUAUCUUAUAAAUCUGCAUUAAAAAGGAAAGAGUGUGAAGGGAGUAACGAGAGAGAGAAGACAAUAGAUCUCACCGUGGUUUGAUGAUUGCUCAUAUUACUUUCUCUGGUGUGUGUUCAGCGAAGAAGGAGAAGCCCAUAACACAUAUAUAAAGCACUUCUUCUCCGUUUUAAAUUAAAACGACAAUUUUAGUUAUUUAACGUGGCUAUCAAGAUCUGUAACUGAUUUUGUGUACUUACCAAACUAGUUAGGUUUUCUGAAUCUAUUAUUCUCACUCUUUUUUGGAAACAAGUUAAAAUAAUCACGAGUACCACAUGGAUGACGACAUAAUAAUUACAUUAUUUGAUAGUAGUAUUGAGUGAGGGAUCAAACUGAGAAAUUGCAUCCAAUAACAUCUUUUUUUUUUUUUUUUUGGGCAACUGCAUCCAAUAACAUCUAAAACACUUUAAUUAACCAAAUAUAAAGAAACUAUGGCUAUGAUAUAAUAAUAUAAUAUAUUAUCAACCAAUUAGACGAAAUUUCUCUUUUCCAUUUUAUCAUCCCCACUCGCGAUUGAUAUGAUUAUAGUAGAAAAAUUUUCAGAUCAAAAUUCAGUUUGUGGAAUGUAAAUGAACUUCGGCAGAAUAAAAACGCACCGUGGUGGUGAUCUAUUUAACGAGCGGCGAUUAAAAUUAGGGAAAUUUACUCAAACAUUACAUAUUUUAUGACAAUCGACUAGAACCAUACAAUUUUUUUUAUUAUUAUUGCCAUUUUUUUAUACCAAAUGUGCCCUUUUUGUAUGUUACGAGAAAAAACGUAUUUACAAGAAUGUCAUUACUUUUUAGUGCUACAUAAGCAAAAAUCCGGUGCCACGUAGGAAUUUGGUUCCGUGUUUUCAGUAAGUCAGCCGUAAAGCGCUAUAUACGUCGUUACGGCUGAAUUAUUGCAAUGUUGCUGGCUGAAUUAAACAACGCGGCUGACUUAAGAGAAAACGGUCGGCUGAUUUACAGAAAUCUGGCUGGUUUAUGGGAUAACGACUGACUUACGUACACGCGUUACGACUGACUUAUACAUCAGCGGUUUGAUUUCUGGAAAAAUCAGCUGAGUUAUAGUUAAGAAAUGGCUGAGUUAUGUUUCCACGGCUGAGUUAAUGAACAUCGACUGGCUGAGUUAUUGAAUUUACGACUGACUUAUGGGAUGUUGUUACGGCUGAGUUAUAUAUAAUCAGCCAUAAUUGGAUGGAUUAACGUAAACACAGCUUAUUUACGGCUGACUUAUUAGCGAAAGAUUAAUUACUAGAAUAGCAUUCGUUUGACGGCUGAUUUAUUUGACGAUACGGCUGACUUAUGAUUUUGCAUCCUAAUUACCGCUGAUUUAUUAGCAAAAGAUUAAUUACUGAAAUAGUAUUCACGUUUCGGCUGACUUACAUUGUACAUGAGGGCUGAUUUAUUUAGGCUGAGUUAUAUAUUCGUUUGGUGGCUGACUAACCGAUUUUCCAUGUCAUCCGCCAUAUCAUCAACUCGGAUUUGCCAUGUCAUCACUAGUCUAAUGUUACAACAGUAAAAUAAAGGUCUACGUUAUCUUUAUUUUUCAUCUUUUUUAUCUAUCUUCUUCAUCUUAUUCUUCAUCUUAUUCUUCAUCUUUCUCUGAGAUCUUAUGGAUCUGGUAAUUAUUGUUUCCGCAACUAGGUCUAUAAACAUAGAUUUAAAAAAAAUGAAAAUCUGAGACAGAUCUACUGCAGUCGUCGUCGUUUCCGAUGAUGAUCGGUUAAAGAGAAGCUUCCUCUCCUCCAGUGUCAUGUAUGGCGGUCCGACAUCCUGCAAGAAUGCUCUCUCUCUCAUUGGAUUCGUCGUCUUGCAGAAGAAGAAAAACUCAAAAAGAGAGAUGAAGAAGCUAAGUCCUGUAAAUUGUAAGAAAAGGAGAGAGUUGAACAAAAAAUUAAGAAAAUGAGAGAAGACGAAGAAGAUGAUGAAUUUGAAAGCUGAUUUUAUAUUUUGAUGAUUCAGAUGGUGCGUCAUCUGAAUAUGAUAACUUUAGUUCAUACAGUGAGUCUCCAACACAUACGUUAUGGCUGAAUUAUGCAUAUGUUACGGCUGAGUUAUGCAUACGUGACGGCUGAGUUUAUAAUUUUUUAUAACUUUAUAGUUCUAUAUUUUAGGGUUUGAAGUUCAAAUUUACGAAAAGAUUAAAGUUUUAAUAUUGUGUUCAAAAGAUAAACUUUAUAACUUUAUAACUUUAUAGUUCUAUUGUUUAGGGUUUGAAGGUCAAAUUUAAGAAAAGAUUAAAGUUUUAUUGUGUUCAGAGUUGAAUGAAUUAUUUUGUUCCUGUCCAAAAUAUGAAAUAUCGCGAAACAAAUUACACUCGAUGGCUGAGUUAUAUGAACGUUACGGCUUGCUUAUACUAUUCAGAUACGUUACGACUGAGUUAUGCAUACUUUACGUCUGAGUUAUGCAUACGUUACGGCUGAGUUUAUAAUUUUUAUAACCUUAUAGUUCUAUAGUUUAGGGAUUCAGGUUCAAAUUAAGAAAAAAUUAAAGUUUUAGUAUUGUGUUCAGAGUUGAAUGAAUGAGUUUGUUUCCACCCAAAAUACGAAAGUCCGCGAAACAAAUUACACUCGACGGCUGAAUUAUAGGAACAUUACGGCUGGCUUAUACCAUUCAAGAGACAAAUCAGUCGCAUAAACAACAUAGAUCUAAAAACUCAAAAAUCUGAGACAGAUCUAUAGCAGUGGUUGUCGUCUUCGAUCAUGGUCGGUUAGAGAAGAAGCUUCUCUCUUCCAGUGUCAUGUAUGGUGAUUUGACAUCCUGCUGCUUCCUCUCUCAUCGGAUUCGUCGUUUUGUAGAAGAAGAAAAAGUUAAAGAGAGAGAGAUGAUGAGGCUAAGUUCUGUCAAUUGUAAGAAAAUGAAGGCUAUAGUUUAGUGAUUGUAAGAGAACAUAUAUAAGUGAACAUAUAUCAACUGAAUUUGAGUUUUAGGGUAUAUUUGUAUAAUUGAUUGUAAGAGAACAUAUAUAAGUGAACAUAUAUCAACUGAAUUUGAGUUUAGGGUAUAUUUGUAUAAGUGAUUGUAAGAGAACAUAUAUCUCAAGAUCAAAUUAAAGUCUCAACUUGAAAAUUCAAGAUACACAUUCAGUUGAUUUAUAUUCACAUGAUAUUGAUAAGAUGAUCUUCAAUAUAACUUUUUAAAGUACUUGAAUUCAGUUUUUCGAUUUUAUGAUAUGUUUGGGAUAUGGCUGAGUUAUCUAAAUGACACAGCUGAGUUAUAUAAAUGAUACAGCUGAGUUAUCUAACGAUACUGCUGAGUUAUAUAAACGAUACGACGAUUUGGGAUAAGACGAUUUCAGAGUUGAAGGAAUGAUUUUGUUCCCGCCCAAAAUAUGAAACGUCGCGAAAAAAAAUUACAGUUGACGACUGACUUAUAGGGCUGACUUAUAGAAACGUUACGGUUGACUUAUACCAUUCGGAUACAUUACGGUUGAAUUAUGCAUUUUUUACAGCUGAGUUAUGCAUACGUUACGGCUGAGUAUGGGUGCCAAAAAGGUUGGGCCACCCAUGGGCUAACUCAUUCCAAACAAACAUGGGUGGGUGAUGGUCAUACCCAAAUAAUUAAUGGUCCAAUCGGGUUAAAGAUCAACUUUACCCAUGGGCUAACAGGUCCAAACCAAAUGGGUGUUGGGUUGGCCCAAAAACUUAAUUUCUAGGGUUUAGACAAUUUGGGAAAAAAUCAAUCAGAUUUCCUCUUCCCCGAUUCUCCUCUUCUGUCCCGCGAUUAUCCUCUUCUAUCCCCAGAUUUCUCUUCUUCAUUCUCAGAUGGCUUAGCUUACGUCUGCUGUUCUUGUGUUCAUCAACAAAGUAAGUGUGACAAAUCCAUAUGAUUAUCUUCUCCUUACGUCUUCUCCUCUUCUCUUCCUCGAGUCAUUCCUUUGUUUUUGAUUUAAAAUAAGUUUUAAACUAAAUUUCAUUUUUGACUGAAGGUUCUCUUCCCUGUAAAGGCGUCAUCUGCUUAUAAGGAGAUUCUCCAUUUCUCUACAAUUUCAGGUAUGAUUCGAUUGUAGCUCUGAUCUCACGAUUUCUCUACGUUCUGUGUUGUGGGUUUUGUAUCUCGUUCUGUUUAGCUUUGAUCUCAAGUAUUUACUCUUGCUCUGAUGAUGAUGAUGAAUCGUUUAGAUUGCCCUACCUACAUAUGUAUCGUUUUUAUUUUAUUCUGUGUGUGAUCAUUUUAAGUUUUGGGCUGACUUAAGAGAAAACGGUCGGCUGAUUUACAGAAAUCUGGCUGGUUUAUGGGAUAACGACUGACUUACGUACACGCGUUACGACUGACUUAUACAUCAGCGGUUUGAUUUCUGGAAAAAUCAGCUGAGUUAUAGUUAAGAAAUGGCUGAGUUAUGUUUCCACGGCUGAGUUAAUGAACAUCGACUGGCUGAGUUAUUGAAUUUACGACUGACUUAUGGGAUGUUGUUACGGCUGAGUUAUAUAUAAUCAGCCAUAAUUGGAUGGAUUAACGUAAACACAGCUUAUUUACGGCUGACUUAUUAGCGAAAGAUUAAUUACUAGAAUAGCAUUCGUUUGACGGCUGAUUUAUUUGACGAUACGGCUGACUUAUGAUUUUGCAUCCUAAUUACCGCUGAUUUAUUAGCAAAAGAUUAAUUACUGAAAUAGUAUUCACGUUUCGGCUGACUUACAUUGUACAUGAGGGCUGAUUUAUUUAGGCUGAGUUAUAUAUUCGUUUGGUGGCUGACUAACCGAUUUUCCAUGUCAUCCGCCAUAUCAUCAACUCGGAUUUGCCAUGUCAUCACUAGUCUAAUGUUACAACAGUAAAAUAAAGGUCUACGUUAUCUUUAUUUUUCAUCUUUUUUAUCUAUCUUCUUCAUCUUAUUCUUCAUCUUAUUCUUCAUCUUUCUCUGAGAUCUUAUGGAUCUGGUAAUUAUUGUUUCCGCAACUAGGUCUAUAAACAUAGAUUUAAAAAAAAUGAAAAUCUGAGACAGAUCUACUGCAGUCGUCGUCGUUUCCGAUGAUGAUCGGUUAAAGAGAAGCUUCCUCUCCUCCAGUGUCAUGUAUGGCGGUCCGACAUCCUGCAAGAAUGCUCUCUCUCUCAUUGGAUUCGUCGUCUUGCAGAAGAAGAAAAACUCAAAAAGAGAGAUGAAGAAGCUAAGUCCUGUAAAUUGUAAGAAAAGGAGAGAGUUGAACAAAAAAUUAAGAAAAUGAGAGAAGACGAAGAAGAUGAUGAAUUUGAAAGCUGAUUUUAUAUUUUGAUGAUUCAGAUGGUGCGUCAUCUGAAUAUGAUAACUUUAGUUCAUACAGUGAGUCUCCAACACAUACGUUAUGGCUGAAUUAUGCAUAUGUUACGGCUGAGUUAUGCAUACGUGACGGCUGAGUUUAUAAUUUUUUAUAACUUUAUAGUUCUAUAUUUUAGGGUUUGAAGUUCAAAUUUACGAAAAGAUUAAAGUUUUAAUAUUGUGUUCAAAAGAUAAACUUUAUAACUUUAUAACUUUAUAGUUCUAUUGUUUAGGGUUUGAAGGUCAAAUUUAAGAAAAGAUUAAAGUUUUAUUGUGUUCAGAGUUGAAUGAAUUAUUUUGUUCCUGUCCAAAAUAUGAAAUAUCGCGAAACAAAUUACACUCGAUGGCUGAGUUAUAUGAACGUUACGGCUUGCUUAUACUAUUCAGAUACGUUACGACUGAGUUAUGCAUACUUUACGUCUGAGUUAUGCAUACGUUACGGCUGAGUUAUAAUCAAAUUACAGCUGACUUAUGCAUACGUUACGGCUGAGUUUAUAAUUUUUAUAACCUUAUAGUUCUAUAGUUUAGGGAUUCAGGUUCAAAUUAAGAAAAAAUUAAAGUUUUAGUAUUGUGUUCAGAGUUGAAUGAAUGAGUUUGUUUCCACCCAAAAUACGAAAGUCCGCGAAACAAAUUACACUCGACGGCUGAAUUAUAGGAACAUUACGGCUGGCUUAUACCAUUCAAGAGACAAAUCAGUCGCAUAAACAACAUAGAUCUAAAAACUCAAAAAUCUGAGACAGAUCUAUAGCAGUGGUUGUCGUCUUCGAUCAUGGUCGGUUAGAGAAGAAGCUUCUCUCUUCCAGUGUCAUGUAUGGUGAUUUGACAUCCUGCUGCUUCCUCUCUCAUCGGAUUCGUCGUUUUGUAGAAGAAGAAAAAGUUAAAGAGAGAGAGAUGAUGAGGCUAAGUUCUGUCAAUUGUAAGAAAAUGAAGGCUAUAGUUUAGUGAUUGUAAGAGAACAUAUAUAAGUGAACAUAUAUCAACUGAAUUUGAGUUUUAGGGUAUAUUUGUAUAAUUGAUUGUAAGAGAACAUAUAUAAGUGAACAUAUAUCAACUGAAUUUGAGUUUAGGGUAUAUUUGUAUAAGUGAUUGUAAGAGAACAUAUAUCUCAAGAUCAAAUUAAAGUCUCAACUUGAAAAUUCAAGAUACACAUUCAGUUGAUUUAUAUUCACAUGAUAUUGAUAAGAUGAUCUUCAAUAUAACUUUUUAAAGUACUUGAAUUCAGUUUUUCGAUUUUAUGAUAUGUUUGGGAUAUGGCUGAGUUAUCUAAAUGACACAGCUGAGUUAUAUAAAUGAUACAGCUGAGUUAUCUAACGAUACUGCUGAGUUAUAUAAACGAUACGACGAUUUGGGAUAAGACGAUUUCAGAGUUGAAGGAAUGAUUUUGUUCCCGCCCAAAAUAUGAAACGUCGCGAAAAAAAAUUACAGUUGACGACUGACUUAUAGGGCUGACUUAUAGAAACGUUACGGUUGACUUAUACCAUUCGGAUACAUUACGGUUGAAUUAUGCAUUUUUUACAGCUGAGUUAUGCAUACGUUACGGCUGAGUAUGGGUGCCAAAAAGGUUGGGCCACCCAUGGGCUAACUCAUUCCAAACAAACAUGGGUGGGUGAUGGUCAUACCCAAAUAAUUAAUGGUCCAAUCGGGUUAAAGAUCAACUUUACCCAUGGGCUAACAGGUCCAAACCAAAUGGGUGUUGGGUUGGCCCAAAAACUUAAUUUCUAGGGUUUAGACAAUUUGGGAAAAAAUCAAUCAGAUUUCCUCUUCCCCGAUUCUCCUCUUCUGUCCCGCGAUUAUCCUCUUCUAUCCCCAGAUUUCUCUUCUUCAUUCUCAGAUGGCUUAGCUUACGUCUGCUGUUCUUGUGUUCAUCAACAAAGUAAGUGUGACAAAUCCAUAUGAUUAUCUUCUCCUUACGUCUUCUCCUCUUCUCUUCCUCGAGUCAUUCCUUUGUUUUUGAUUUAAAAUAAGUUUUAAACUAAAUUUCAUUUUUGACUGAAGGUUCUCUUCCCUGUAAAGGCGUCAUCUGCUUAUAAGGAGAUUCUCCAUUUCUCUACAAUUUCAGGUAUGAUUCGAUUGUAGCUCUGAUCUCACGAUUUCUCUACGUUCUGUGUUGUGGGUUUUGUAUCUCGUUCUGUUUAGCUUUGAUCUCAAGUAUUUACUCUUGCUCUGAUGAUGAUGAUGAAUCGUUUAGAUUGCCCUACCUACAUAUGUAUCGUUUUUAUUUUAUUCUGUGUGUGAUCAUUUUAAGUUUUGGUAAAACAUAAGAAGCAAUGCUAUGAGCCUAUGAUAACUGUGGGUUUUGUGUGUUCAUGUAGGUGAUGAGUCUGUUGGUUUUGUGUGUUCAUGUAGGUGAUGAGUCUGUUGGUUUUGUGUGUGCAUGUAGGUGAUGAGUCUGUUGGUUUUGUAUCUCGUUCUGUUUAGCUUCGAUCUCAGUUUAUCUCUUCAUGCUCUCUACGUUCUAUGUUGUGGGUUUUGUGGGUUUUGUAUCUCGUGAAACUAAAGAAAUGUACCUCUCAUGCUCUCUACAUUCUGUGUUGCGGGUUUUAUGGGUUUUGUAUCUCGUUCUGUUUAGCUUCGAUCUCGGUUUAUCUCUUCAUUUCAUCUCAAGUUUUUACUCUUGCUCUGAUGAUGAUGAUGAAUAUUUUUUUUGUUUCAGAAAAUGGAAGCUAUAGACUUGAAUGAUGAUGGUCAGAAUGGUGUGAUGGAUGAAGAUAUAGAGGAUCAUGAAGUUAUAGAGAUCUCAGAGGCUAACGAAGGCACAAAACGAAGAUCACUCCGUAGAGUCUCUAGGUGCUGGAGAAAGUUCACUAUAAUUGGAGGAAAGCUGUCUGAUGGUACAACUAAGAUCAGAUGCAACCUUUGUAAAAGUUUUUACUUCUUGAAUCUUCAUCAAAAUGGAACCUCAACUUUGACUCGUCAUAUGAAGGUAUGUCCAAAAUCUGUUGGUACACCUAGAAGUAGUUCUAGGAAGGUGGAUAUGAUGGUGUUUCGUGAGAUGAUAGCAAUGGCGAUUAUAGAGCAUGAUCUUCCUUAUAAGUUUGUAGAGUAUAAGAGGAUUAGAAUGGCUUUUACUUAUGCUAAUUCCACGAUUGAGUAUUGGAGUAGAAAUACAACAGCUUCUGAUGUGUUGAAGAUUUAUGAAAGUGAAAAGCAGAAAUUUAGGAAAAUCUUAAAUGAUUUUCCUAGUAGAGUUUGUUUAACAACAGAUCUCUGGAGAGCUAUCACGAUUGAAGGCUAUCUCUACUUGACUGCACACUACAUCGAUGAAGAUUGGAAUCUGCAAGCGAAGAUACUAUCUUUCAUUGCUUUCCCCCCCCCCACCUCAUUCUGGAAUAUCAAUAGCUAUGAAACUGAUUGAGCUUUUGAAGGAGUGGGGACUGGAAAAGACAAUAUUAUGUCUCACAGUGGACAACGCUUCUUCAAAUGAUACCAUGCAAAGCAUCAUGAAGAGACAACUGCACAAAGAUCUUGUCUGUAAUGGAUAAUUUUUCCAUGUUAGAUGCUCAGCACACAUCUUGAAUCUGAUCGUCCAAGACGGCUUAGCCGUGAUUGGAGGAGCUUUGCAGAAAAUCAGGGAGAGUGUCAAGUUCGUUUGAGGAUCAGAAAGCAGGGAAAGAAUGUUUCAAAAUUGUGUUAAAAUAGUGGGAGUUGAGGGUGAUGAAGGUCUAGUUUUAGAUGUAAGCACACGCUGGAAUUCUACUUUCCUUAUGCUUUCUAGGGCUAUCAAGUUUAAAGCUGCACUAGGUAACUUGGCGGAUGUGGAAGCGAGUUAUGUGAGCUUACCCUCUUAUUCUGAGUGGAGGAGAGCAGAAGUGAUAUGCGAGUUGUUGACGCCAUUUUCUGAGAUUACAAAUUUGAUUUCUGGUUCCUCAUACCCAACAUCAAAUUUGUAUUUCAAUGAAAUUUGGAAGAUUGAGUGUUGGUUGAGAGCUCAUACGAAUUCUUCUGAUCAUGUUAUUUGUGAAAUGGUGAAGUGUAUGAAGCUCAAGUUUGAGAAAUACUUGGAAGAGUACAGUGAUAUCCUUGCAGUUGCUGCAGUUUUGGAUCCAAGACUGAAAUUUGAGCUUACAAGAAAAAUCAGAGAAUUAGUGGUGCUGCUGCAACAACUUCACAAGGAGAAAUACACGAUGUUCCAGCCGGUUAUGGUGUAAGUUAUGUUAUGUAGUUAUUUCUCAGAACUGUUAUGAUUUUCUGAUAUUAUAUAAGUGUGUUUAACCUGUUCUUCAGGGAUUCUAUGCCUUCUUUUCUCAGAAAGCUGUUGGCAGUGGAAAGUCUGCUCUCGACAUAUAUCUGGAUGAGCGAUUUCUUGACAUGGCCGCUUACAAGAAACUGAAUGUGUUACAUUACUAGAGAGACAACUCAACUCGUUUCAAAGAGUUGGCAACAAUGGCAUGAGAGGUUCUGAGUAUACCCAUAACAACUGUUGCUUCAGAAUCUUUGUUUAGCAUAGGUAGUAGGGUCCUUAACAAGUACAGGAGCUGUCUUCUACCUACUAAUGUGCAAGCCUUAGUAUGUACAAGAAACUGGUUAAAAGGGUUUCCAGAAAUUGGUUAGUGUUGCUUAUAGCCUUAUAAUCUGUUCAUAUGAUAAAUUGCUUCAGAAUCUUCAUAAAAUUAUUAUUUUUCUUAGGUGAUGAGUCUGUUGAGAAGACAGAAGAGGAGAAAGAAGAAGAGGAUAAAGAGGAGGAGAAAGAAGAAGAGAGUGGAGAGUCUAGAGACUUGACUGAGGUAUUAUCUUAUACUUGUUACGUGAUGUUUACUGCUCAAUUAUUGUGUGAUCUUGUACUUUUCGUUCAGUCUUGCAAGUAACUCGUUCGAAUUUGUGGGUUUAGUAUUGAAAUGUUCACAAUGUUUGGAGAGUUUGUGGGUUCAGUCUUGCAAGUAACUCAUUUAGUGUAGUAACUCGUCACGACUCAUUUGCUCUCUAACUUUGUACGGCUGUUGUUUUUGUGUUGCUCUCUCAUUUGCUCAUUUAGUGUAGUAGUAACUUGUCAUGUUUUGUUGCUCUCUCACUUUGUAGAACAUGAGAGGUACAUUGCUUUAGUUUCAUUAGAUUGCAAGUUUGAUGUUAUGUAGUUGAUCAAAGUUUGGUGCUAUGUAAAGAUUGCUAUCAGUUCUUUUGCUUGAGAUGUUCAUGUCUCUGCUCUUCCUUCUUGCAGGCUGAAGACAAGUAGACAAGCUGGAACUGGAACAAAGUAGAUACAGAGAAUUAUCAAUAAGUCUUUCAAUUUAUAAUCUUUAUAGUCACAAUAGCUUUAUAGUCACGAAAGUUUUGAAUUAUGGACAUUCAGUUAAAUAAUGUUUUGAGACUAUUUCAAUUAAGAUUCAUAUUUGAAUAUUUUUUAUCUUUGAAAAAACAUAUUUGAUUUUAUUGUUGGAUUUAAAGAUUUUCUAUAAUGUUUAUUUGCAAUAAGUAUAUAAGUUUAUAAAUUGAGUUUACAAAAACUGAUUAUGAACUAAAUUGAUCUAAUUGUUAAAAAAAAAACUUAAAUGGGCGGUCUUGGGUUAUUUCCAAUUGGACAUGUGCUAACUUAGGUUUGGGUGCUUUUGGGUUUGGAUGUUACACGGGGUGGGUGUUUUGGGUCUAAAAAAAUUUAUGUCCAACUACACACCCAUUUGGGUGUUGGGCCGCCCAGUUGACCGCCCUCCUCCUAUGGUGCACUGCGCUAUCUGUUAAACGCGGGUACAUGAAGUUACCCACAGCUAUAACGGAAUACAUGGUCUUCUCUUUCGCUACAUUUGCCCUUGUGGAGCCAUUUGGAUUAGCACCUUACAUCCUCAAGCGACGCAAGUCUCUCAUAUCAGUAUUUGAAAUCAUCGAUCGAGUCCCGACGAUUGAACCAGAUGACAACUCUGCUCUCAAGCCGCCUAAUGUCUACGGAAGCAUUGAACUGAAAAACAUCGACUUCUGCUACCCGUCUCGACCCGAAGUGUUGGUGUUGAGCAACUUCAGUCUCAAAGUCAGUGGGGGGCAAACUUUAGCUGUGGUUGGCGUCUCAGGUUCUGGUAAAAGCACAAUAAUCUCACUCGUGGAGAGAUACUACGACCCAGUUGCUGGUCAAGUCCUACUAGACGGGCGCGACUUAAAGCUAUAUAACUUGAGAUGGUUGAGAAGUCACAUGGGUCUGGUCCAGCAAGAGCCCAUAAUCUUUUCCACAACCAUCAGAGACAACAUCAUAUACGCAAGGCAUAAUGCGAGCGAAGCUGAGAUGAAGGAAGCAGCGAGGAUAGCAAAUAGGGCUUACCUCACGGUUACGACACACAUGUGGGGAUGAGAGGUGUGGAACUUACCCCAGGACAGAAUGCAACCACACUUCGGCAAAGGUCUACGCCAACAUCGACUAAUAUAGCAAAUAGGGCUUGUAGGUGUAGAUUUUCCACGGUGAUGAAGCUUCUUUCUCCAAGGUAUAUCGAUUGUGUAUGCUAG